rfam:Papilio xuthus contig4128, whole genome shotgun sequence.
GGAUGUCAAAUUGACUCUAGUAGGGAGUCCGUUUAAUGCGCGACUCCCUAAUCGAGUCAGGUUGACUUCCUU